rnacentral:rRNA from 1 species
CAUGCAGUCGACGGAUCCUUCGGGAUUAGUGGCGGACGGGUGAGUAACACGUGGGAACGUGCCUUUUGGUUCGGAACAACUCAGGGAAACUUGAGCUAAUACCGGAUAAGCCUUUCGAGGGAAAGAUUUAUCGCCAUUAGAGCGGCCCGCGUAGGAUUAGCUAGUUGGUGGGGUAAAGGCCCACCAAGGCUACGAUCCUUAGCUGGUCUGAGAGGAUGAUCAGCCACAUUGGGACUGAGACACGGCCCAAACUCCUACGGGAGGCAGCAGUGGGGAAUCUUGCGCAAUGGGCGAAAGCCUGACGCAGCCAUGCCGCGUGAAUGAUGAAGGUCUUAGGAUUGUAAAAUUCUUUCACCGGGGACGAUAAUGACGGUACCCGGAGAAGAAGCCCCGGCUAACUUCGUGCCAGCAGCCGCGGUAAUACGAAGGGGGCUAGCGUUGCUCGGAAUUACUGGGCGUAAAGGGAGCGUAGGCGGAUAGUUUAGUCAGAGGUGAAAGCCCAGGGCUCAACCUUGGAAUUGCCUUUGAUACUGGCUAUCUUGAGUACGGAAGAGGUAUGUGGAACUCCGAGUGUAGAGGUGAAAUUCGUAGAUAUUCGGAAGAACACCAGUGGCGAAGGCGACAUACUGGUCCGUUACUGACGCUGAGGCUCGAAAGCGUGGGGAGCAAACAGGAUUAGAUACCCUGGUAGUCCACGCUGUAAACGAUGAGUGCUAGUUGUCGGCAUGCAUGCAUGUCGGUGACGCAGCUAACGCAUUAAGCACUCCGCCUGGGGGAGUACGGUCGC